GACGAACGCUGGCGGCGUGCUUAACACAUGCAAGUCGAACGAAGUGGCGAACGGGUGAGUAAAGCGUAAUCAACCUGCCCCUCAGAGGGGGACAACAGUUGGAAACGACUGCUAAUACCGCAUACUGCAGGAGGGGAUUGCGUCUGAUGAGCUAGUUGGAGGGGGAACGUCACACCAAGGCGAUGAUCAUUAGCCGGUCUGAGAGGACGAACGGCCACAUUGGAACUGAGCCACGGCCCAGACGCCUACGGGAGGCAGCAGUGGGGAAUCUUCCGCAAUGGACGAAAGUCUGACCGAGCAACGCCGCGUGAGUGAAGAAGGUUUUCGGAUCGUAAAACUCUGUUGUUAGGGAAGCGUUAUCUACCCAGAAAGCCACGGCUAACUACGUGCCAGCAGCCGCGGUAAUUC
rnacentral:rRNA from 1 species